UACAGAGGGGGCAAGCGUUGUUCGGAAUUACUGGGCGUAAAGGGCGCGUAGGCGGCCGCCUAAGUCAGACGUGAAAUCCCUCGGCUCAACCGGGGAACUGCGUCUGAUACUGGGUGGCUUGAAUUCGGGAGAGGGAUGCGGAAUUCCAGGUGUAGCGGUGAAAUGCGUAGAUAUCUGGAGGAACACCGGUGGCGAAGGCGGCAUCCUGGACCAAUAUUGACGCUGAGGAGCGAAAGCCAGGGGAGCAAACGGG
rnacentral:rRNA from 1 species